GGCGAUGGUCACUCCGUCUCUUCUUUUGCUUUUGUGGGAAUGACCGAACUAUGGCACUGUAUCAGACUUAUCGUGUGUGUUGUAAUUUCAAACUAUGAAGCUUCCGCUACUUGAAGAACUUGGUUUGUAAUAGCUUUAAGCACUCUGAUGUAUUUUAUGAAUGUUGUAAUCUGGAUGUACUUGUGGAUGGCGACCGCUAAACUUAUUACGAUCUUGGCUGUUAUGUGAUGUGUGGUUUGAAAUCCAUCGAGAUUUCACGGACUACCGGGAUUAUAUGGGCUUAAGCGUGAUAGUUCGACUAUGCAAAUGGUCACUAUUAGGCUUAAUCUCUUAUAAUUUGGUCGGUUCUGUUAUAGUAAACAGGGGUAAGAUAUGAUAUUUGGAGAUAGUGGACACACAUCUGGGUCAUCCUCGAGGAUAAAAGAUAAAAUAAAGAAUAAAAGAAUAUAACUACUGAGCAGGCAUGGUUCGUAUAUAACUGUGCUAAGAACUGUUCGUAAGUCAUCUAACUACUAUGUCUAG
rnacentral:lncRNA from 1 species